CAAUCAACCCUAAAAAAUUACAACCACCCUUCUUCCUCUCUUUGCCAACCAAAUCACGGAACCUUUGAUACGCAAAGGCUUGAUAUAAUUUUUAAUUUUGUCGAGUCCAGUGUGACGCAUCAACUUGAAAGUGCUUGGAAGCUUAUGCAAGAACCAUGAAGAGUUUGCUCUGGAACGUUUUUCAUAAACUGUCGAUGUUCAUCGUGGUAGAUCUAUUACAUGGUCAGAGUAAUUUGUUUUUUGUCUAUAGUAUAAUCGGAGAGUGUGCAUGGCACAAGCUAUAAACUUGUCACAAGCAGCAACCUUGUCUCUCUAUGGAUUCAAAAAAGGGCAAAAUGUGGACUUCAUUAGGAGAUCGAGCUUAAGAACUUGUUUUUGCUUGAUCAAAAAAUGACAGAUAAGAUCAAGGGAAAGAUAGACUCGUAACAAUUCUGGAAUUGAAAUUAAUUGCUUAGUUUGCCGCCAUGCAUGGAGCAAAAGCAUAUGGAACUCCAGUUGCUUAGACUUCAAGCGCGGUUGCAGCACCAAUCUUCUUCACAAGGGCACAGUCCCUACUCCCUGGAACAUCAUGGGAUAUAAAAAUAAAGUAUGCAUCUGUAAAGGUAACAACUCAGGGAUGGAACUGAAACGUGUUAAUUCAAGCAUGUUCCUUCCACGAAAGCUCAAAACUCUUAUGAGCUUUAUUUCAUGAUUACUUGCUUAUUCUCCAGCUUUUGAUCUUAGAAGGCGACCCCAGGGAGGGCGGUUAUGGUCGAGCUGCUUCGCCCCUCUCCUGACAAGGUCAGUCUCAAAGACCCAGACUCUUUCUAAUCUGUUUACAACCCACUACUCUUCGAGGUCUGUCGUAAACCCCUAUACGAGCAACUCCGUGCCUUGGACUAUCGGUCACGCCUCUUGCUAAAGGCCAUCUCUAUCUACUGAUCGGGGCUCUCUCUUUACUACCAAAAUGCCCUUUCUAGUUUUUGAUCUUGGCUCAUCAGAAGGCUUAGCUAUUCUCUCUCUUAUUUAUGUAAAUUCAUUAGAAAGACCCGUACCCUAUCCCUCUAGCUGCCGGCUUGGUGUGAAGUGAUCGUACCCUAUCCCUCUAGCUUAGUGGAUGCAUUGAACUUAUGCAUGAUGACUACUAGCAUAAUUGUGGGGCCGAAG
rnacentral:lncRNA from 1 species